rnacentral:rRNA from 1 species
UACAGAGGGGGCUAGCGUUGUUCGGAAUUACUGGGCGUAAAGGGCGCGUAGGCGGCCCGCUAAGUCGAACGUGAAAUCCCCGAGCUCAACUCGGGAACUGCGUCCGAUACUGGCGGGCUUGAAUCCGGGAGAGGGAUGCGGAAUUCCAGGUGUAGCGGUGAAAUGCGUAGAUAUCUGGAGGAACACCGGUGGCGAAGGCGGCAUCCUGGACCGGUAUUGACGCUGAGGCGCGAAAGCCAGGAGGAGCAAAGCGGG